rnacentral:tRNA from 1 species
GCGGGCGUGAUGAAGCGGUAUCAUACCAGCUUCCCAAGCUGGGCUCGGGGGUUCAACUCCCCUCGCCCGCU